rnacentral:rRNA from 2 species
UUGGAGGGCAAGUCUGGUGCCAGCAGCCGCGGUAAUUCCAGCUCCAAUAGCGUAUAUUAAAGUUGUUGCAGUUAAAAAGCUCGUAGUUGAAUUUCGGGAUCAAUAUUUCGGUCAUGCCGUUGGUAUGCACUGUUAUCAUUGAUUUCUCACCUUCUAAAGAACCGUGAUGCCAUUAAUUUGGUGUUACGGGGAAUUAGGACUGUUACCUUGAAAAAAUUAGAGUGUUUAAAGCAGGCUCACGCUUGAAUACAUUAGCAUGGAAUAAUGGAAUAGGACAUCCGAUUCUAUUUUGUUGGUUUCUAGGAUCGAUGUAAUGAUUAAUAGGGAUAGUUGGGGGCAUUAGUAUUCAAUUGUCAGAGGUGAAAUUCUUGGAUUUAUUGAAGACUAACUACUGCGAAAGCAUUUGCCAAGGAUGUUUUCAUUAAUCAAGAACGAAAGUUAGGGGAUCGAAGACGAUCAGAUACCGUCGUAGUCUUAACCAUAAACUAUGCCGACUAGGGAUCGGAUGAUGUUAAUUUUUUAAUGACUCAUUCGGCGCCUUACGGGAAAC